GUUUUAUCUAAAUAACAAUUAUUAUUUAAAAUGAGCUUUAAUGUCCAAUAAAAGCUAAUGAGUAUAUUUACAAGUCUCUUACACAAUGCAAACUUAAUGUUAGAGAAGCAGAGGAGUAAAGGUGGUAGAGAAAGAAUACAUGGUUUUCCUUACUUUUCAAAAUUACCAGCAUGCAAAAAAAUCUUGAAUACUUCUUAUUACUAGACUAUCUGCAUUUUGAAGUCUAAUAACAACAAGUCCUGAAGUGUCCCUUCAAUAUACACCUUUUCUGAAGGACUAAAUGGAAU